rnacentral:lncRNA from 1 species
UCCAGACAGAAGGUGACGCUAUUUUAGGCAUUUUAUUCAAUUCUCUAUUGACUAUCACCAUCCAAUAUAAUAUUAGUAUUGAAUAAUAAAGGCGGGAAUGUUAACGUUCUUGAUUGAUAGAAGAAGAUGUAUAUUAUUUAAUCAAUGAUGCCAUAAGUAUUUCUUCUCUUCUCCUCGCACGCUUUUCUAUUCUUACCAAAAUUAUCACCCUUAGAGAUGACUCCAUGGAAUCUAGUUCAAUAGGAAGAUACGCAGGAGUAGGGAAGAAAUUUAUUUCCCUUUUGAUGAACUCAAGAAGAAGAAAAAAAUAAUAAUAAAAUAAUAAUCUCAGGAGAAAACUAGUCAAGAAAAGAGCGGCGUGUCUAUAAAUACUAAAAAGGAAAGAAAAAGAAUACAAGCCCGAGAGAUAAAACUCCCUUUUAAAUCAUCGUCUCUUUAAUAAUGACAAUGGAUUUUGGCGCUGUAUUGCUCCUAUUUUCUGUUCUCGGAGGUUUUACUACAAAAAGUCAACAAAGAAAGAAAAAUCUGACGUGCUUCAGAAUUCUGUCUAUGUCCAAAGAUAAGAUAUUUUGACACCGGAGCAAAAGAAGACACUUCUACACUCGUUCACACAUACAGUUUAGAAGGUCCCAGUUUUGUUCAAUGUUUGAAACUUUUUGUGAAAAUUAUCUUCCCUAUAAAACUCACUAUCCAACGGUCAUGUGGAAUCUCCGGUACAAGCAAGGAAGAUACUCCUCCAAAAAGUCAAAAACUGAGAUGAAUAUGAGAGAUCACUCCUCGAUUGGCGUAAAGUUUCUCGUGUAGACUAAAUGAGUUGGUGGCAAUGGCUAUUUAAACUCGGUAUACGGACGUCUAAUCCAGCAACUGAAGAAAAUCUUUUUGAAUUUUGGUAGAAGAAAGCGAGUAUACAAAAAUUACCAUCCCUUAAUCACCAAUUAUAAUUCGCCAAAAGCAGUGGAGUACUACUACUAUAAAUUUGAUUUCUUCAAAAAUAUUUAAACAGCUUUCACGAAAAUUUGGCAACAACCAUAAGAAAUAGUUAAUAAUGAUUCUAUACGAGAAGAAAUUGUAUUUAUACAGGAAAAUUUUCUUCAGAUACCUUUGGCAAUAACUGCGCUUGAGGAAAAAAUGGCCUCUCCUUACCAGCCUGACCAUUGUAGAGAAUCCGACUCAAGAUUUGAAAGAAGAACUGUGCAAGGUCAAGUUAAAAAAAUUGCUUCAAAAGAACCCUGGCUACACAAAACUAAAGGAACAAGUAAAAACCUUGUAUACAAAAAUACUCCCAUUGUCAAUUGUGAUACUGAGAGAGUCUUUUUUUUGAGAAAUACGAAAAAUAAGUCCAAAUUAAGUACUAAGAAACUUAGGGAAUUAUUGAUCAUCAAAUGGAAUGAAUAUUUUUGUAAACAUUUAAUUGAUCAAAAAUUUCGUGCCAAAGUUAUUUAUUCAUCCUUUAUGUCCACUAAGAAGUAAUGAGUGAUGAUGUUAUGAUGGGUUUGAUGUUCUUUAAUUAACUGAAAAUAUAUUUUGUUUUACAUAAAUUUACAGAAUAUAAUAUGAAUUUACAUAUUUUUAUUUAUACGGAAGUUAUAUAUUAAUAAACUACAAAAAUCUCUCUUCCUUCAAGUUUAAAUAAAUAAAUAAUUUAAGUUAAA